AAAACCCGUAAAUAAGAGAGGUGUUUUUGAACCACAAGGUUCCUUACUGGUUGCCGCUUCUCGGCCGGCAGGGAAGGAGCCCAGUGAUCGGCCGAAGCCGCCGGGCGGUUAGUGGCUUCCUCUGCCCAAGUCACCAGAGAACGGAGAGGCGAUGACUGUUCCGGGGUUUCGGCCUUCCCUGCGGCGUCGCAGGUCUCAUACUGACAGAGCAACCGGGAGGCACCGGCCGCUGCGGGUCAGCGGGGCGCCGGUGGGCCUCGUGGGAGGCGGAGCGGCAAGGCCAGACCCUCUUCUGGCAGCACCCCAGCAGGACAGGCGCAGCGGAAGUGACGGAACCAGCGCCCGGGCGUGCGGCGCUUCCGCUUCCGGGAUCCUCUGCUUCCGGCCUCCCAGAGCCCUAAGUGGGCGGUGGGGCUGCACGUCCUCGUGCGGUGCCUUCUGGCCGCGGCAGGGCGAAGCUGCGAGCCCGGGUGCGGUUCAGCACGCCGGGCUUUCAUAUUCUUUCUCACUGGAUUUGGUGAUGUAAAGUUUUUCUUGUUUCUCUUUUAAGAAAGGGGGAAAAACACCCAAACUUUCAGUGACAUUCCCCCUUGACACUUCUAGUGACCAAGGACUUGGCCUUGGGUAGAUCCCUUAACUGCUGCCAUUUAUUAAUUCAACAAAUAUUGAGCUGCUUCUGCCCCCUGGGUGCUGGGGGCACGGUGCGAGCAGGAUGAGGACUCUUCCUCCGAGCCGGGGUCUGGGGAAGGGGAGAGGCCCUGCGCACGAGAGAGCAGGGAUGAGGUCUUUUUACCUGUCUCUUUCUUGUCUUAUGGCCAUGGGUGGACCUCCAGUGCAGUAUUGAAUGGGGAUGGUGGUAGCAGGUAUUUGUAUCUCCUUCCCAAUCUCAAGGAGAAAUCAUUUCAAGAUUUCACCAUCAGAGUUUUUGUGUCAGGGUCAUACUGGCCCCAUCCACCAAGUUGGGAAGUGUCCCUUGUUCACUUUCUCCUGAAGAUUCAUGUGAGUGUGUUAUUUCUAUGCUAAAUGCUUGGGAAGUCAUCCAGCCCAGGGUUUCUCUGUUAGAAGGUUACCUGGGUUGGGGGGACACAGAACCUGCCUGUGGGGGGACCAAGGAAUAAAGAGAAAGACCUGGGAAAAGGGACAUCGAGGGGAACAGGCAGGAACUUAGCGGACUUGGAAGAACCCAGCCUGAUUCUACGUGAACAAGGGCACAGCAUCCCAGUCUGGAGUCCUGAAGAAAUCUACACCUGUGUCCAUGUGGGGCUGUCUCUUGCCCUGUGGGACGUGAGCAUCUACUCACAAAAUGGUGUAAACCUCAUUUACCUGCUCUAGCUCCUUUACUGUAAUUGUUAUGUUAAGAGUUUAAAUAAAGCCACUUUAAACUAAACAACAAAUACUCAAGGGCCCUUAAUCCCAAGGAGACUCAUUGAGCAUAAGCCUGACCUUUCUGCUGCCCCCCCCCAAAGCCUUCGCCAUUUCCUACGUACAAGGCUGAGAAGCUGCGCAGAAUGUGGCUGAUAAGAAGCAGGAGAUUCUAAACGGAGCUGGCAAGGUUGAAGGCUGGGGAGCAAAACCUGGGGGUCCGGGCCAUGACCCUGCAGAAAAACGAAGCCCAUAGAAGCGAGCCUGGUGUUCUGUGUUCUGUGUCCACAGGAGUAUUAAGACAAAAAUCAGCAAUAAUGAGAUAUAUCAUUAUAAUAUGUGCAGUGAAGUAUAUAUUAAUAAUAAUGAGAGAGAGAAUGGGAAGGGGGAGAGAGAAAGAGAACCUGUCUGUAACAUCCCAUUAACAAUGAGCCCAGAUCUUGGCUUCUAAAACCCAUUUUCCACUGGAAGGAACCAGAGAGCCCUGGAGAAAUGGCUGAUUGCAGGGCUGUGUUAGGGAUGGUACAGGAAUAGCCAGAAAGCAAGGAUGAGCUCAAAGAAUGAGGGGACACAUCAAAAAUACACAGAAGCCAGCUUGGAGGGGCUCCCACUGGCCGACUUUGGGGCAAUUUGAAUGUCAAAAUAAAUAAGGAAAUAACAGAUUAUAACCAAUUGAAUAAAAUAGGAAACAAUAAAUGUAUGUAGAUAUGUGACUACAUUGAGAAUUUGAUGAGGAAGGGGAUGUUUACAUAGUUUCACAAUACUUUCCCACACAAUAGUAAUGUCAAAGGGGAAAAGAUUGUCAUCCUGGUGGAGAAUCCUGGAAGGUGCCAGCUCCAAGUGAUGGCAGUGAACACCCUCGGCAACAGCCCACAUGGAAGCUGGGUGCCCCUGGCAGGGGACAGCAUCGCCGUCGAGGUCUUCCUGCCAAAGGCACAGGGCACCACAGCUGGUUGUGGCAGGAUGCGCCUAUGUGACCAGACUCCACAGAGCCCUGGACCCUGCAAUUCAAACAGACUUUCCUGGGGAGAGAUUUCACACGUUUGUAUAGCAUGAGCAUGUUGUUACGGAGAAAGCCCUGUGGGUCUCCAGAUGGGGCAGAACUCAGAAACUUGUGCCCGGUCUCUGUGGACCCCACUGGGUGUGCAUCUUUUUCCUGGUGCUCUCGGCCUGCAUCCCUUUGCCAUAAUAAACCUUAUCCCUUAGUAUCCCCUUGGCCAAGAGAGGGUCCGUUCAGUCAGCUGGGGGGAAGCUUAAGAUUUUAUUUUAGUUGACAUGUAUUUAAGGAAAAUAAUUAUCUCUUCCAUAUUCAUGUGCAUUGUUCAUUUUAGAACUUUUCAAGUGAUUAUCAGAAGUUUUCUAAGUUAUUCCAGGCAAGGUUUAUCAAAAUAGAGCAUGUGAGAAAGAUCUAUUUCUUAAUUUGUUGACAAAAUACUUUAUUUCAAGAUUCUGGUUUGGUUUUGAUGAUUUGAUGGUUUAAUCCGUACGUUUGACAUUUUGGGUGGCAUUGCAGCAGUGGUGUGUGAGUUGCGGAGUAGUGUAGGAGAGGUAUGUAACACACACACUCAUGGAUGCAUAGGAAUGGCUUUCUGUAAUUUUGUGUUUGUUAGGGGUAAUAGAGACUACCGACCAACAGGGUACAAGAGUCUAUACCUUUUUUUCUUUGAACUCAGGUUAGCUGGCUCCCUUUGGAUAUUAGGAUUUAUGUGCCACAGGAAGCAGUAACUUCUUAGCCUUUUCUCUCUUUUUUCCCAAUUCACAAAUGUGCAGAGUUUUAAUGGACAUUUCUCCAAAUAUCAUAUACAAAUGCCCAAUAAACACAUGAAA